rnacentral:lncRNA from 1 species
CCACACUCAACUUUGCACAACCAUCUGUUCACUUGUACAUAAGCCGCUAUUGUGUGUUGUCUCGAAUCAGUGUUUCCGAAGCAUUUUCUACUCAAGAGUAUUUCCACUUAAGUAGGGCACUUUGGCACUUUCAAGCAACAUUUCGGUCCGUCGCAUUCCCUGCGACUUGCGCGGCUCAUACAAUGUGGCCCCAUGUUCUCUGCAAAAGUCUCACUUUAUUAUAAAAUGCAAUUUAUUCUACUGUCUUUCCCAACGUUAUUGCACCUUAUUGCAAUUGUUCAUACUAUAGUCGGGUAGAACUUUAGAAAGCAGCGGCAUUUGUCCCUCAAAGGCGUAUGCACACGAGCCUGCACAAAUGGGCGCCCACUCUAGACUGACGUCAUGAGCCGAACAGCCGGUGACCCCGGCGACGGAGAGCAUGCAGCCCGCGCUUCGAGCGGGGCCGAGUCGCGCCAGCGGGUCUAUUUCUUUAGUCGCGGAGGCAAUCGGCUGCCCGCGCUUCUGUCACCGGGGCGGGGCCUCUCCUCUCUGCUUAAACUGUACCCGACUAUAUUGCAUCAUGCGUUUCAUGCUGUGUUAUGUGCCACGCAACGACAAAGCGUCGAAUGCACAAAGAGAAGAAGCCCACUUUGUGGUCUCACCGCUGCAGUUUACCACAAUACACAGAUGAUGUAUUGGACAUUCGUUUCAUGCAAAAGGUGCUUGUAUUCCUCUUUCCCUUUUAUGCAUCUGGGUAAAAAAUUUCCACCAAUUCACUUUCACAGUUCUUGCGCCAGCAUCCCAGGGUGCCCUUUAGCGUGAUCACCAAGAAAGAUCUCUUUCUACACAAUAGGCAAAAUGCGAUUGCAGUUGUAGAGCAUCUGUCGGUAUUUAUCCGUUACCUUUCGAGUCGAGUCACUGUUUCCCCUGAUGUCGUACGCAGUUCAGACUAAAGUAUACUGCCACACAUACUACAUGGCGGUAUAGGUUGAGGGAUCAAUACACUUGUACAGUCUUUUAGUACGCCUUGCACAAUCCCAUCUCUCGCAGGUUAAGAAUUUAUGUGUGAAGUGUUCUGCCCUGAUGACAUUUUACCAAGAAUUAGCGAGGUUAGCCAAACGAAAGGUAUUUUUAUCCAUUCUUAUUAAUUUCGAUCAUACCAAACGGCACUAUACAAAAUUUCUGCCUUAGCCAGAUGCAGAACCAAUUUACACUUCAUGGUGGUAAUAGCGCCUCACUAAUUAUACCAUAGGGCUUUACUCAUUAAAUUGCUGGCAUAUUGUGCUGUGCCGACACAGAGUUUAUGUGAAAGCGUAUAAGAUUCAAAAUUAUUGCGCAUAGCAUUACAGCUGGUUUUUGGAAAGCAAUAAUGCAUCGGUAGACGCAGGGUCGAUAUGUGCAUACCUCAUAUAUUUGUCUGCUUCUUAUCCUGUACAUAUAUAUACCCUUGCGGCGACUAAGCUGUUA